rnacentral:rRNA from 1 species
GUAGGGCGGGACACGUGGUAUCCUGUCUGAAUAUGGGGGGACCAUCCUCCAAGGCUAAAUACUCCUGACUGACCGAUAGUGAACCAGUACCGUGAGGGAAAGGCGAAAAGAACCCCGGCGAGGGGAGUGAAAAAGAACCUGAAACCGUGUACGUACAAGCAGUGGGAGCACAGGUUUACCUGUGUGACUGCGUACCUUUUGUAUAAUGGGUCAGCGACUUAUAUUCUGUAGCAAGGUUAACCGAAUAGGGGAGCCGGAGGGAAACCGAGUCUUAAUUGGGCGUUAAGUUGCAGGGUAUAGACCCGAAACCCGGUGAUCUAGCCAUGGGCAGGUUGAAGGUUGGGUAACACUAACUGGAGGACCGAACCGACUAAUGUUGAAAAAUUAGCGGAUGACCUGUGGCUGGGGGUGAAAGGCCAAUCAAACCGGGAGAUAGCUGGUUCUCCCCGAAAGCUAUUUAGGUAGCGCCUCGUGAAUUCAUCUCCGGGGGUAGAGCACUGUUUCGGCUAGGGGGCCAUCCCGGCUUACCAACCCGAUGCAAACUGCGAAUACCGGAGAAUGUUAUCACGGGAGACACACGGCGGGUGCUAACGUCCGUCGUGAAGAGGGAAACAACCCAGACCGCCAGCUAAGGUCCCAAAGUCAUGGUUAAGUGGGAAACGAUGUGGGAAGGCCCAGACAGCCAGGAUGUUGGCUUAGAAGCAGCCAUCAUUUAAAGAAAGCGUAAUAGCUCACUGGUCGAGUCGGCCUGCGCGGAAGAUGUAACGGGGCUAAACCAUGCACCGAAGCUGCGGCAGCGACGCUUAUGCGUUGUUGGGUAGGGGAGCGUUCUGUAAGCCUGUGAAGGUGUGUCGUGAGGC